rnacentral:rRNA from 1 species
GGGAGAUUGUCAAAAAACGGGGAAGAUUGAUCAUUUAGAGGAAGUAAAAGUCUAACAAGGUUUCCGUAGUGAACCUGCGGAAGGAUCAUUA